rnacentral:rRNA from 1 species
GAUGAACGCUGGCGGCGUGCCUAAUACAUGCAAGUCGAGCGAACGGAUGAGAAGCUUGCUUUUCUGAUGUUAGCGGCGGACGGGUGAGUAACACGUGGAUAACCUACCUAUAAGACUGGGAUAACUUCGGGAAACCGGAGCUAAUACCGGAUAAUAUUUUGAACCGCAUGGUUCAAAAGUGAAAGACGGUCUUGCUGUCACUUAUAGAUGGAUCCGCGCUGCAUUAGCUAGUUGGUAAGGUAACGGCUUACCAAGGCAACGAUGCAUAGCCGACCUGAGAGGGUGAUCGGCCACACUGGAACUGAGACACGGUCCAGACUCCUACGGGAGGCAGCAGUAGGGAAUCUUCCGCAAUGGGCGAAAGCCUGACGGAGCAACGCCGCGUGAGUGAUGAAGGUCUUCGGAUCGUAAAACUCUGUUAUUAGGGUAGAACAUAUGUGUAAGUAACUGUGCACAUCUUGACGGUACCUAAUCAGAAAGCCACGGCUAACUACGUG